rnacentral:lncRNA from 1 species
UGGUGGUUGGUCGAAGGGUGUUGAGGAGAGAGCUGAGGAGAGAGCAGAGGAGGAAGGACCGUCUUCAUCUCUUUGUGAUCACAGAGCAUUUCCUGAUAUUCAGUUCGUAUCUGAUCAUGAAGCUGAUCCCUCAGAGUCAGUGAGGAGGCAUGCUUCAAUUCCACAGUCAAAGAGUAAGGUACAUCCUUCAGUGUUCAUAC